rnacentral:snRNA from 1 species
AGGCGCCCCUCCUUGCUAGAACUUCUAAACAAGCUCUUAAGGUCCAUUUGUAGGAGAUUGUAGGGUAGUCAAGCUUCCAAGACUCCAGACACAUCCAAAUGAGGUACUGCAUGUGGCAGUCUGUGUUU